rnacentral:misc_RNA from 1 species
CCGAGUUUACAAACUCCCAAACCCCGUGUGAACCUACCUCUCAGUUGCUUCGGCGGUGCUGCCCCGGGCGCGGGCCUCUUGGUAGGCUGUCAGCCCCGGACCCAGGCGCCCGCCGGGGGACCCUAAACUCCUCUGUAUUUGUCUAGCGGCUUCUUCUGAGACGUGCCGUCGGGCACUGAAAAACGAAAUGAAUCA